rnacentral:rRNA from 1 species
GAUGAACGCUGGCGGCGUGCCUAAUACAUGCAAGUCGAGCGAACAGAUGAGGAGCUUGCUCCUCUGACGUUAGCGGCGGACGGGUGAGUAACACGUGGAUAACCUACCUAUAAGACUGGGAUAACUUCGGGAAACCGGAGCUAAUACCGGAUAAUAUAUUGAACCGCAUGGUUCAAUAGUGAAAGACGGUUUUGCUGUCACUUAUAGAUGGUUCCGCGCCGCAUUAGCUAGUUGGUAAGGUAACGGCUUACCAAGGCAACGAUGCGUAGCCGACCUGAGAGGGUGAUCGGCCACACUGGAACUGAGACACGGUCCAGACUCCUACGGGAGGCAGCAGUAGGGAAUCUUCCGCAAUGGGCGAAAGCUUGACGGAGCAACGCCGCGUGAGUGAUGAAGGUCUUCGGAUCGUAAAACUCUGUUAUUAGGGAAGAACAAAUGUGUAAGUAACUAUGCACGUCUUGACGGUACCUAAUCAGAAAGCCACGGCUAACUACGUG